AACGAACGCUGGCGGCAUGCCUAACACAUGCAAGUCGAACGAGACCUUCGGGUCUAGUGGCGCACGGGUGCGUAACGCGUUGGAACCUGCCCUUAGGUUCGGAAUAACUCCCCGAAAGGGGUGCUAAUACCGGAUAAUGUCUUCGGACCAAAGAUUUAUCGCCUUUGGAUGGGCCCGCGUUGGAUUAGCUAGUUGGUAGGGUAAAAGCCUACCAAGGCGACGAUCCAUAGCUGGUCUGAGAGGAUGAUCAGCCACACUGGUACUGAGACACGGCCCAGACUCCUACGGGAGGCAGCAGUGGGGAAUAUUGGACAAUGGGCGAAAGCCUGAUCCAGCAAUGCCGCGUGAGUGAUGAAGGCCUUAGGGUUGUAAAGCUCUUUUACCCGGGAUGAUAAUGACAGUACCGGGAGAAUAAGCUCCGGCUAACUCCGUG
rnacentral:rRNA from 1 species